CUCCUCCUCCUCCUCCUCCUCUCUUCUGUUCUCGUUUCUCUGCUUGCUUCCUUCCUUUCAUUGAAACAGGGUCUCACCCUGUAAGCUGAUCUACACUUUGCUCUAUGGUGCAGGCCAGCCUAGAAUUCAGGGCAAAUCCUGCAGCCUUCAUGAAUUGCUUGUGUGACGUUCUACACCUAAUACCUGUUUUAUAGUCCUCCUUUCUUGUAUGAUGAUACAGUGCACUUCAUAGACACUCAGGAAGUAGAUGGUGUCUUUUAGAGAAAAAAAAUCUAACAAUGUGAGCAUUACAGGAAUCCGUGAAGUCGACAUAAAAUAAUUAGAAAUACAUUCUCACGCACAGCCACAUGACCUAUGUUACAUCCCUUCUUUACAAACAUUCGAGAUGAAAAUAUAGGCCAAGUUUGCAGGCUCUGGUGACAGUAGACUCUACAGAAGGAAAUGCAUAACUGAUUUCAGACCAGUCCAACAGAGGUCAUUUGUAAGUCAACCUUGAGGAAAUUAUAUCUGAAAGCAACAUUGUAUCAGUCAUGGCAAUAGCAGAAGCAAAGAAAAGGUCAUGAAGUUACAAAAUAACCAGUUUUUCAAUGAUGAUGGCUAUUUUUUAAAAAAGACAAAGUGUUUCUAUGUAGUUGGCUGACCUAGAAAUCACUGCAUAAACCAAGCUGCAUAAACUGCAUAAACUAAACACACAUAGAUCUGCCCACCACUGUUUCCCCUGUGCUAGGAGUACAGCACUGUGCCACCCCACCCUGCCCAAUGAUAAGACUAUUUCAGCUAAGGAGGCAGCUAAGGUGUUACAAUUGAAUAAGGAGCAGUUAAUACCACAGCAUGUAUGGACACCAGCAAAAUAAAAGGAAAACCAAUGUGUCCUGCUUUCUCUGCUUGAGUCUUAAGUUAAAAUGAAAACUUCCAGGGUGUUGAUGGCUGGCCAGGCCCCUGGGAAGUGAUCAUGAGGGCAGGGCACUCACAAACGGAAGAAAUAUCCUCAUGGAAGAUUCCCCCAGAGAGCAAGCUAACCCUUUCAGCCAUGUGGGAACAUGCAUGGAAGAUACCACCAGUGAACCAGCAAGGGCCCCUCCCCCUGACACCAGAUCUACUCCACCUUGAUCUUGGAGUUCUAUUCUCCAAAGCUGGAAUGAAUUUCUGUGUUCAGCUUAUAGUCUGUGAUGUAUCAGUACAGCAUCCUGAGUGGCCUGAGACACAUGGGAAGCAGAGAUAGUGCUCUGACAAUGGGCCGAUCCUGUAUGGUAGUUAAUUCCUUGGGUUGAUCUGGUCCAUUUCAAAUGGAAAGGUGCCAUUUAUGCUAAGACUGUGUUCAUUAUCAUAGCAAAAAAAUCCAGUAGAAUCAAAAGGAGUAAAAAGUAAUAAAUGAGUUUUAAGGGAAGAGGCUUCCUUUUUAAAAAAUAAAAUUUCCCUUUUAUUUUUAUUUUGUGUAUGAAUGUUUUGCCUGUACGUGUGUGUACGGUAUGAGUGCAGUACCAGAGAAGGCCAGAAGGGGGCGAUGGAUGCCCUGGUAAUAGAAGGAAAGCAUACUUCCCAAGGGGGGAAAAAUGGGGCUAUUAACAAUGGUAAGGUGUAAGAGAAAGUUCUUUAAAAUAUGGCAUUAUGGCGCUGAGACAACUCUAAUACUAGCUAAGAAAGGAGAUACCAAAGGAACAUGGUACUCCAUUACCAAAAGUCAUGAAACAGAAAAACAAAUACAACUUACCUUUCUGAGAAACAGAACUUAAAAUGGAAACACAUUAUGAUUGGCAACAUAGGAAGACAGAACUAAACUGCAUUUGUCUAUUUUCUGUCGUUAUAACAAAAUACUCAAAGCCAUGGAUUUUAUAAAUACAAGAAGUUCAUUUAGCUCACACUUUUGGAAGUUCAAGGGCUUGGUGCUGGAUCCCUGGAUGAGUCAUAUCUUGAUGGAUAAAAAAUCGUGCCUGUAUAAGAGGGAAUGGUCAUGGUGAGAAGACAACCCAGAGAGCACGGAGGGGCCAGGCUUGAUCUUUUAUUCACUCUCUGGAGAACAAGUAGGGGCUUCAUUAGACCUACUGUAUAUAAUUUUUUUCCCGGGGCAUUGUCCCAGUGAAGGUACAUGCGUGUGCAUGUGUGUAAGGCCAUUUCUAGAGAGAAUUAACUGAGGAGGGAAAACCUACCCUGAAUGUGGGUGAUACCAUUCUAUGAGCUGGGGGCCAAACAGAUAAUAUGGGGAGAGAAGAAAGGAGCUAAUUGCCAGCAUUCCUGUUCUCUGCCGCCCCCUCCACAGAGAGGUGAGGAAGCCUUGUGGCUAGCUCCAGCCACCCUGGGCAGAGCCAGUCUAGGUUGUCACGCCUUCUGUGACGUGAUGGACUGGGUUCCUUUAGAAUAUGGACCAAAAUAAAUCUUUUACCUCUAAAUUGCUUCAGUCAGAUUUUGUCGUAGCAAAAAGGAGAGUAACCAAUAUACAUUCCAACCCUCUACUUUUGACCUUACAGAGGUUUAAGUGUUUCAAAAUUUAUUUUUUUAAACAAUAUCUGUAAAAAUAAAUAUCUGCAAAUAAUUUGAGCUGGUGGGAAAAGUAAUGUAGGAACAAUUGAAAAUGCUAUUACAUAUAGCACUAUUUUAUAAACAUAUUUACCCCAAGAAAUGCUAAAAAAAAAAGAAGGUGCACAUUUGGAUAUUAGAGAGAUUUUCUUUUUAAGAUUUAUCUAUUUUUUUGUAUAUGAGUACCUCUUCUUCAUGCUCUAUCUUCAUUACAACUGCGUGCCAGAAGAGGGCAUUGGAUCCCAUUACAGAUGGUUGUAAACUACCAUGUGGUUGCUGGGGAUUGAACUCAGGACCUCUAGAAGAGCAGACUGAGCCAUCUCUACAGCCCUGGAGAUCUUUCCAAUUUUAUUUUAAAUUAAAAUUUCAAGUUAUCACACAAACUGAUGAGUUUCCCUGAGACUCAUAUCGAUCUCCAUGCAUAUGAAUUACUGACUUCCAUCUCAUCUGGACCCAUGUCCCAGAUUCCUCCUUCCAGCCGCCUCUCUUGCUUUCCUCACCAAGGCCCUACCUCUGCUUUCCUGUUAUGUGUAUUCCAUUGCUGCCCAUUCUCCCAUUUCUUUAAUAUCUUUCUCUCCACUCAUGGUCCCCUUUGAGUUUGGUGACAUAUAAAUACACACAUACAGAUACACGUGUAGGUAAGCAAACACACACACAUAUAAUUUCAAAUCUAGAUUCUGCCUAUAAGAGAAACCAUGCAGUAUUUGUCCCAGUCAGGCUUAUUCUGCUUAGUGCAAUGACUCCCGCCUACAUUGUUCUUCCUGCAAAGGUAGAGAUCAUUUUGAAACAGAGUCGCCGAAAUGCUAAGGGGUUGGACAUUCGCUGUAAUAUGGCUUUCUCGUGCCUGGUUUAGGGGUUAAAUGGUUUGACUCAGCAUAAACAUUGAUUCAGCUAUUAAUCAAAAAGAAAGGGGCCCUGCAUAAAUCCUACCUGUCCUUUUCUCAUCUGAGGAAUACAGCAAAUGUCUUCUUCCAGACGAGGGUCAGCAAUGUGACAGAGGCUGUAAAUCACUGGCUGUGCUGUUUGGGUGGACGGUGGCAAGCGAUAAGAGCAGCAGUGUUUGAGCACGGAUGACACUUUGUUUUCUCUGCUCCCACUCGAUUGUUUAUAUGCGUCAGCUGGCCAACAGUAACAUUUAAAAGCCAUGACCUCGGAGGAAAUUAAACUAACAAAGACUGUCCACAGCGAGGCUCUGGGCGCCCGAGUCACAGGUACGGUACCGAGUGGCUGCUGUGAGUUACCAGUUAAAGACAGACGCUCCCUUUCCCUGUUGUUCUUUGUGUGUAAAAAUGCCUGGAUUUACUUCCUGGUCAUCUACACAAUGACCUCUCCAGGGCUGGAUUGAGCAGAGCACCCAGACAUGAGCAAAGCCAAGCCAGGCACCUCAGAAGAUACCCGUCAUCCAUGCUGAACUCUUGGCAGAGCUCCUUGGUGUCUCCACUUGGCUCUUAGUGCAUGUCCUUACAUUUAAUCCUAUCAAUCUGGAUUAUCUCAUUUUCCAUCUCCAGAGUACAAGAAGGAAUGAAGUUAGAAAGCCAGAGUGAUUAAGGGAACCAGACCCAUCACCCUAGUUAGAAAUGGUAGCUAGAAUAGGAAAGAGUCAUCCAACUUUUUUUCUAGGCGUGGCAAGGUGGAAGGGCAACCAAGAUGGUCGUGAAUAUCUGCUUCUCCUCGAGACUUGGCUCUACUGUAUCUAAGCUGUAUAUUAGCUCGGAGACAUGAAAUAUUCUACUUAAGGUAUAAUCUAAUAUGGAGAAAUGAUCACUCAAAAUGCCAUGGUUUUAUUUUGUCUUUCUUUUUAAGGCAGAGUUAAUGGGUUAUCAGGUAGCCCAGACUAUAACCUGAUGUCUUCCUGCUUCCAUCUCCCAAGUGGUGGGAUCAUAAAUAUGUGCUACCACGCCAGGCAAACCUCUUACAGAUAAGGAUAGCAUUUAGUUAGUCUCCCUGUUCAUCAGUACUAGAUAAAUUAGAAUCACCCUAGUCGUUUGCAGCAAACGGAGCCUCUCUCUUUUUAUUCUUAGUGCUCAGAGCAGCUUGACUUUAGACUCUUAUUUUCACUCUUGUGUUGUCCCUGAGAUAGUCCUCGCAGCGGCUUGGAGCACAGUGGGAAAGUGUGGACCGACCCUGCCUUUCUUGGCAGGAUAGAAAGGAGAGGAGAGGGAUGAUGAAUCCUUGCUGCUUGAUUCCCAGUGUGUGGGAUAGCCUUGUCUUGCUUGAACUUUCUACAGCUCAGUUUGUGUUUAAAAAGAAAGUAGAAAAUGGCUUCUUUAGAUGCUGCACACACUUCUCUUUUGAAAGGUGACAGUCAGAUCUGGAGUAAGAGUAGCCAAACUCUGUUAGGCUAAAACUGAGUCUCUCCUCCCUCCCUCCCUCCAUCCCUCCCUCCAUCCCUCUCUCCCCCCACCUCUCCCUUCUUCCUUCUCAUCCUCGCCUAGGGAUGCACAUAGUCUGCAAGGAUGCACACAGUCUGCUAAGAGGAUUCAACAGUGUCUGAGAAAGCCAUGCCCCACUAUAAUUUUCUGUGACUUAGAUGAUGAAACUGACCACAUCCCUUGAGACGUUCCAGAUCCUGUUAACUCACCCAUGUCCUGCUUGUACAGGGUGAUUUUUAAAUGUAUUUUGUUGUUCUUGAUAGUAUAAGUCUCUUACCCAUUUCUAAUCUUCUCUCAUUAGAAAUCGCAAGCUCUACCUGGCUGUGUGAUCAUCUCCACGGCUAUAUAAUUGCAUGUUUAUCGGGAGACGUAAAAGAGUGGGCGUCCCAGGCGCCUCUCAUGUAAAUCGCUAAAAACCCAGAUUUCAUUUGGAGGUUAAAAUAUCUGUAUAUAAGCCAGGUGUGGCGGUACAUAAUCAUAAACACUGCUACUCAGGAGACGGAGGCAAGGGGAUCCCUUGAGCCUAGAGGCCGGCCUAGGGAAGAGAGUGAGGCCUCAUCUAAAAUAAAAUGUAAUUUGUGGCUGUAAAGCUUUCGCUGCCGUUCCUCUCAGGUACAAGGAAAUGUGUAGUGCCCAACCCUGGGCUUCAAAAACAAAGAAGAGAAGUUAAUCGGAGAAGUACCAGAUUGGCGGUGAUCUGGUUACAUCCUCCAUUAGUAUUUCUUGCCACCUGUUCCUUGGCAGGGCCAGCAUCUGGGAUGGAAACAGGAAGAAACAAGGGACCCAGGUGCCUAUCAGGUCUGCCUCCAGCUGUGUAGUCCUAUGGCUAUGGCCAAGGUAGAGGAAGAAAACACUUGUGAGCUUUCUUGUUGUUGUAAGUUCUAGGUACCUUAGGUCACAAAUACUGUCUUCCUUAAAAACAUAGCCAUGUGCCAUUAAGUGUCUACAGAGUGCAAAAAGGAAAUCUGUCCCCUCCUCAUGAUUUUUUUUUUUCAAAACCUAAUGACAGUAAAAGGUUUGCUCACUUAAAGCUGGAAGACAAAUGAGACUUGCUCAGGAGACCAGAGCAAGUCCUUCCCGGCAGGAGGUGGGAUGGUGGCUGGGGUUUAACCACAGUUACAGUUGCUUAGGUGAACCUGAAGUAGCCCUGUGCUUUUUUGUCAACCGCUGGAUGUCCCCUGGGCGUCCCUGAGGAUUCCUUCCUGGCAGCUUCUUUGAAACAGAGUAGCAUUUGAAAUACAACCACCCACCCCCAGACAGAAGAGCAACUGGUUUCUUCCCUAACCUUCUAAACACACAGGUCAGGCCUCUGAAGGUGAAAGGCUAUCUUUUCAGAAGGCUAUCUUUUCAGCCCGGAACCAGGAGUCUGGUGUUUCUCAGACCAUCCAUCAGACUUCUAUGUAUCAUAAGACCCCUUCUCUUGUUCCCAUGUAUUAUUUUUUAAUAUAAAUGGAUCUUAUUUUUUAUUUACUUUUAAAGUGUAGAAACAACACAUUCAGAAGUCUUUUUUUAUUAAACCAAUGAGUUAGAAUAAAAUGAUGUCAUUUCCAUCUUGGAGGUCACUGUAAGUCUUUUGGGAUAUCCUUAAUUAUGGUUUUUUCGUUGCAUAGUCUCUCCCUCCCUCCCUCUCCCCACCCCCUCAUGGCUUAGCAUCAAAUAGAAUGUUUAUGUAUGUAGCUGAGGAUGACCUUGACUUCUGAUCCUCCUGAGUCCACCUAGGAGGGCUGGGGUUACAGGUGUGUCAACCACACAGGAUUUUUAUGGUGGUGACCAUCAAACCCUGGACUUCAUGCAGCUAUGCAGCUAUGCAGCUAUGCAGCUAAGCAAGCACUGCCAACUCAGCUGCACUCCCAGCUCCUCAAACAGGGAGGCUGGUGGAGGUAUCUGCCCCAGAGAGCCCACUGUCCAUUAUAUUAGGCUGUCGAUAAAUGGAGUUAAUUUAUCUCUGUGGCUCUUUAAUUAACCUACAACUUAUUUUUCUCACAUAAAAAAUAUCUCAACGCAAUGAAAUCUUCAUUUAUCAGCAACCGAGAACCCAGUCUCUGAGACCUGUAGAUGGAAUGGGAGGAGUGUGUUUAUUCUCCGCCCCACAUUGCACUCUGACCCACAUGACAGGGUCGUAUCUGGUGGGCAUGCUGGGAGCUUGGCUCAGUCUACACAAGGAUAUGUUUUGUCCUCCCCAGUAUAAAAGUCAGCCAGCUGUUUGUGAAUGACAGCUCACUUCAGUGACAUUCCUUAGGAGCCACUUUCAAUUGUGUGCUCACUGACCAUUGUUGCUAAAAUGGAGGGUUGGGAGAGAGUCUUGCCAUGUCUACUAACUUCUAAAAUUUCUUACAUAAAGUCAGGGAAAGAUUAAUGGCAAAUGCAGCAUAGUUUAAGUAGAUUUCAUGUUUUAAAACUAUUUUACAUUCACAAAAAUACAGACCAGAAAAGGUCUCCUCAAUAUAGCAUAUGUACACAGAGAUGUCUAACUAUUAUAUUUUACUUAAAAUAAAAAAAAGUUUAAUAAACUAGGCAGGCAGGAGCCAGACAGACCAUAGGUACAUACUAUAACCUAGGCUAUUUGAAGCACGGGAGCCUGGGAGUUUGGGGGCAUCCUGGGCAACAGAACAAGACCUUGUCUCUUAAAACAAAACAAAAUGGCAAAAAGCUUUUUUUUUUUUUAAUUGAAGAAGGGAAGAAAGAAAAGAAGGAAAGGAACAGCAAGAAAAAAGCCUUGUUGAGCCAUCACACAUGCACCAUUCGAAUCAAACUCUUCCUAAUUUUAAUGCAUUUUAUUUUAGCUCUUAAAAAAAAAUCCAGGUAUUUUUAUAUGGGCUAAUGCACGUCUUGCGUGUAUUUGUUUUUUUCAAUCUCUCAGGAGUUGUAGAUGGCACUGUCUCUUUAAUGUUGCUUGCCGUGUCCUGAGGUGUGCUGUGUGUGGUUCUUGCUGCUGUGUGUGUACACAUGAAAUUAUUUAAGUCAAAAAAAUAACUUCACGGCCACGGCUGCAGCGCUCUGGUGCUCUAGUGAGCCAUCUCUUCGCAGUAGGACUUCGGAGGGCCCUCGGAAUCUUGAAGCUGGUGGCCGAUACGGCUGGUAGAUGCCUUUUAUGCCUGUAUGCAGGAGUGUAAAAACAUAGAAAACUUAACGAAGCUGCUAUGACCUUAGAUGAAGCUGAGUCCUCAAACCCAGGGCAAACCUGUACUCCGCAUGAUGAAGGGAGAAUUUGCACAUGAACAUAACAGGGCACGGAGUAGUGAGUGUGUAAUCGUGGACAACCAGACAAAGGCAGUCAAUGGAUAGACAGUGAGUACGGAAACCUUUACAGAACAACAAAACAGAGAGAGAAAGGGUAGUCUGUGGAGAUACCAAUGAAAAUUUUUUCAAGAAUUGCAUAAAGAACAGUUUAAAAGUUGACAGUGAUGAAAGCCUUUAAGAAUUUGGAAAUGUGGAAAUUCAUACAUUAUUAGUGUUACUGCCGAACCUUUCAAGAGGCUAGCUGGGUAGUAUUUAUUAAAGGUAACAUUUCUAUCCUCUUUAAUGGAUAACACUAAGAACUCAAUAAAAGUGUAUGUGCACUUGUAGUCCAGGCUGCUUGGGAGACUGAGGCAGGGGGAUUGUUUAAGCCCAGGAGUUGGAGACCACCACGAGAAAAAUGGUUAGAUCAUGUCUCAAAAAAAUGAUCAUUUUAAAUGAAUCCACAUGCAUAAGGAUAGUCACUGAUGCCAUAUUAGCCACAGCAAGAAGCUGGGGGGAUUUGUUCAGUGAUGGGAAAGUUGGCUAAGUUGUGAUGUGGACAGACGGAGGGGUGUGUGUGUGCUGCCCAGAACACUAGUGUGGGGUACAUUUUAGGCAUGAAAGGAGCCAUGGUGACUCACAUCCUGUUUAUAAGAAGCAGACUUAUAGAUCAGUCUGCUUGGGGCUCUCAUCUGCUCCUGGAGGAUCUCAUCUGCUCCUGGAGGAUCUCAUCUGCUCCUGGAGGAUCUCAUCUGCUCCUGGAGGAUCUCAUCUGCUCCUGGAGGAUCUCAUCUGCUCCUGGAGGAUCUCAUCUGCUCCUGGAGGAUCUCAUCUGCUAUUGGAGGAUCUCAUCUGCUCCUGGAGGAUCUCAUCUGCUCCUGGAGGAUCUCAUCUGCUACUGGAGGAUCUCAUCCGCUCCUGGAGGAUCUCAUCCACUCCUGGAGGAUCUCAUCCGCUCCUGGAGGAUCUCAUCUGCUCCUGGAGGAUCUCAUCUGCUCCUGGAGGAUCUUAUCUGCUCCUGGAGGAUCUCAUCUGCUCCUGGAGGAUCUCAUCUGCUACUGGAGGAGACUUGACUGCUUUCUUGAUACUUUUAAAAAUUGAAUUAAGUGGUCUUUUUCCAUUUGUUUUUUAAGCUACACUUUUAAAAAAAUUAAGUGAUAUACUUAAGACUUUCAAAGAUGAAAGAUAAUUUGAACAAGCUGUCAAAAUGUUGACAAAUAGAAGUCCUUAGGAUCCUGCUUAAUGACUAAGUAAAAAAAUAAUUUGUUUAUCUGUUUAAUAAGCCACUCAUGUGGGAAAAGAUAGUUCUAAAAUAUAUGGAAAAGACUGAAUAAAGUUAAAUAUUUUGAUAUAA